AUUGAACGCUGGCGGCAUGCCUUACACAUGCAAGUCGAACGGCAGCACGGGUGCUUGCACCUGGUGGCGAGUGGCGAACGGGUGAGUAAUACAUCGGAACGUACCUUAUCGUGGGGGAUAACGCAGCGAAAGUUGCGCUAAUACCGCAUACGCCCUGAGGGGGAAAGCGGGGGACCGUAAGGCCUCGCGCGAUUAGAGCGGCCGAUGUCUGAUUAGCUUGUUGGUGAGGUAAAAGCUCACCAAGGCGAUGAUCAGUAGCUGGUCUGAGAGGACGAUGCGCCACACUGGGACUGAGACACGGCCCAGACGCCUACGGGAGGCAGCAGUGGUGAAUUUUGGACAAUGGGGGCAACCCUGAUCCAGCAAUGCCGCGUGAGUGAAGAAGGCCUUCGGGUUGUAAAGCUCUUUUGUCAGGGAAGAAACAGCAGCUCUAACACAGUCUGCGAAUGACGGUACCUGAAGAAUAAGCACCGGCUAACUACGUGCCAGCCGCCGCAGUAA
rnacentral:rRNA from 1 species